rnacentral:pre_miRNA from 1 species
AGCUUUUUGAAUCCGUGCUGAGAUUUCAUCAGACACCAACCGAUUAGGGCUGAUCAGGCUUCCAAGAUAAGUGAAGUU